UGUCUUCAAAUUGGUAAUUUAUAUACCAUGUUUAUUAAAUGUUAUUAAUUAAGCUCAGUUUCCCUUUCUAAUUCCUUAAAAUGUCAAUGUCUUACCGCCUGGACUACGCUCAUAGGGAAAUACCCCAAAAUGGUACCCAAUGAGGGAAAUUCCAAACACUUUUUUUUAACAAUAUUUGUUACAUAUUUUUUUUUUUUUAUCGAUCUCAGUAUAAAGACAAUAUACGUAUAGUGUCUUGAAAUAUGAAAUUUAUUUUUAUUCGGCCAGAAACGGGAAAAUGCUCGGUACAA
rnacentral:lncRNA from 1 species